rnacentral:rRNA from 1 species
GACGAACGCUGGCGGCGUGCUUAACACAUGCAAGUCGAACGGAAAGGCCCUGCUUGCAGGGUACUCGAGUGGCGAACGGGUGAGUAACACGUGGGUGAUCUGCCCUGCACUUCGGGAUAAGCCUGGGAAACUGGGUCUAAUACCGGAUAGGAGCCAUUUUUAGUGUGAUGGUUGGAAAGUUUUUUCGGUGUAGGAUGAGCUCGCGGCCUAUCAGCUUGUUGGUGGGGUAAUGGCCUACCAAGGCGGCGACGGGUAGCCGGCCUGAGAGGGUGGACGGCCACAGUGGGACUGAGAUAAGGCCCAGACUCCUACGGGAGGCAGCAGUGGGGAAUAUUGCUCAAUGGGCGCAAGCCUGAUGCAGCGACGCCGCGUGGGGGAUGACGGCCUUCGGGUCGUAAACUCCUUUCGCUAGGGACGAAGCUUUUUGUGACGGUACCUAGAUAAGAAGCACCGGCUAACUACGUG